rnacentral:lncRNA from 1 species
UAACUCUGAAUCGGAAUAGCAGUGCUAGUCCUCACGAUCCACAAAGCCUACAAGAAAUCUAUAAUCUUAAUAGGUCUCCUGAAUCUAAUCUUAAGUUAUAGUGUAGUGCUUAUCAUCCUAUGAUUCACUUAGCCGGGUUUUCAAAAUUUAAUAAAUAUUUGAAAACUAAAAUUCUUGAGUUAAGGAUACCAACAAUAUCAUUACUCGAUUUUAUUUAAUAAUUGGAUUUAAUGAAAACCAAUUUAAAUCAUGAGUACUUUUAUUUGCAAAAAUGAAUAUGCAAAUUCAUUUCAUGCUUAAUCAUAUAAUAAGUAAUUAUACUUAAUAUAUGCACAUAAUAAUAAUAUUAUUAUGCAAUCAUUCUUUAAAAUAAUUUAUCAAACUUAAAUUAGAGUCUAAUUAAAUAAAAUAGGGCAGUCCAACCCAUUGAAUCAAACUGCAGCCCAACCACUUAAUAAAUAUGCAGAAGCCCAUAAAUGAAUUAAAUCAGCCCAAGACAUAUAAAAUAAACAUGGCCCAAAGAGAUUAAAACAAAAGCCCAACUGACUCGGCCCAGAUGAUUUAAUUCGGCCCAAAAAUAGGAGCCCAAAACCCAAAUCUUCCUUAUUUCUCCCCCCUCCUCAGCCGCACACACACACACAAUCACAUAUCUCACUCUUAUCUCUCUUCACGCCAAAUCCGCCUCUCUCUCUGCUCCCUCGAAUUUCCGCCGCCGCGGCUCCUCCUUGGCGACGACGGAACGCCGCCGCCUCCCUUGGCCUCUCCCUCUCUUGGUCCGUUUCCGGCGACAGACAUCACCAUCUCCCUCUUCCUCACCAAAUCGCGCCGCCGCCUCCUCUCUGGAACUCCGGCGAGUCAGCAGCGAGAGGCCACUGCCGCCGCGCCCCCUCUCUCCAAUUUCAGGCGACGAUGACGACUCCUCGCCGCCACCGUGCCCUAGCCUCCCUUGCUCAACCUUGGCCGACGGCAGCAGCUUUCUGCCACUACCAUUGCCGCCCUCUAUCUCUCCUCUCUUUCUCCAGCCGUGGCCGGGCAGCAGCGGCACCGCCGUCGUGCCCUGCCUCCCUCCGAAAGCUCAACCACCGCCCCCAUUAACAGAUCCGGCGGGCGCGGUCAGUGGCUCCACGCCACCACCGUCAGCACCCCAUUCUCUCUCUAAAACUUCCGGUGACAGACGACGGGGUCGCCGCCGAUGGUAACAACAGUCGCACCGCCGUCAUCCCUUAUCCCCCCCCUGACUCGACUCAAUACAGCAAGAUCGAAGGCAGGGAAACAAAAUCAGAACUUCCAUUUCUAUCUUUGACUUUCUUUUCUUUUUACAGACAUGCUUGAAUGUAAAUAUAUACACGUAUAUAAACAGAGUGCAAAUGUAAUGUAUGUAUGGGUGUUUUCCUUGUUAGGCAGUUGAAAUUCUUAUGACAUGAUCUGGGUUUCUUAGACAUAGUGUAAAAUGAGGUAAGUAGGGAGCUUUAAAAGAAUGGCACCUUUAGGAAUUUCGUAUGAAAUCUGGAAUGGUUGGCUGCGUGAAUCUGUCGGACUGCUCGCUCUUGAAGUUCUGUCCGAGCGUUGGAACGGAAAAGAGAAAGUGCGUGAGUUGAGAGAAAAUAGUUUGGCUAUCGCAUGAGUGGACUUUAAAGAGGAGUUAGGCUUUGGCUGCUGAAAUGAGAAAGGAA